GGCUCAGUGGUAGAGCGUUUGCCUUGCAUGCAUGAGGCCCUGGGUUCGAUUCCUCAG
rnacentral:tRNA from 1 species